rnacentral:rRNA from 1 species
UACGAAGGGUGCAAGCGUUACUCGGAAUUACUGGGCGUAAAGCGUGCGUAGGCGGUUGUGCAAGACAGAUGUGAAAUCCCCGGGCUCAACCUGGGAACUGCAUUUGUGACUGCAUCGCUGGAGUGCGGCAGAGGGGGAUGGAAUUCCGCGUGUAGCAGUGAAAUGCGUAGAUAUGCGGAGGAACACCGAUGGCGAAGGCAAUCCCCUGGGCCUGCACUGACGCUCAUGCACGAAAGCGUGGGGAGCAAACAGG